UACAGAGGGUGCGAGCGUUAAUCGGAAUUACUGGGCGUAAAGGGCGCGUAGGCGGUUAUUUAAGUUAGAUGUGAAAUCCCUGGGCUUAACCUAGGAACUGCAUUUAAUACUGGGUAACUGGAGUGUGGUAGAGGGUAGUGGAAUUUCCGGUGUAGCGGUGAAAUGCGUAGAUAUCGGAAGGAACACCAGUGGCGAAGGCGGCUACCUGGACUGACACUGACGCUGAGGCGCGAGAGCGUGGGGAGCAAACAGG
rnacentral:rRNA from 1 species